GUAGGAAUCUACCCAGUAGUGGGGGACAACCCGGGGAAACCCGGGCUAAUACCGCAUACGCUCUGCGGAGGAAAGCGGGGGAUCUUCGGACCUCGUGCUAUUGGAGGAGCCUGCGUCGGAUUAGCUAGUUGGUAGGGUAAAGGCCUACCAAGGCGACGAUCCGUAGCUGGUCUGAGAGGACGAUCAGCCACACUGGAACUGAGACACGGUCCAGACUCCUACGGGAGGCAGCAGUUAGGAAUCUUGGGCAAUGGGCGCAAGCCUGACCCAGCCAUGCCGCGUGUGUGAAGAAGGCCCUCGGGUUGUAAAGCACUUUCAGUAGUGAAGAAAAGCUCGAAGUUAAUAACCUCGAGUCUUGACGUUAGCUACAUAAGAAGCACCGGCUAACUCCGUGCCAGCAGCCGCGGUAAUACGGAGGGUGCGAACGUUAAUCGGAAUUACUGGGCGUAAAGCGCACGUAGGCGGUUUGCUAAUUGGGAUGUGAAAGCCCUGGGCUUAACCUGGGAACUGCAUUUCAGACUGGCAAACUAGAGUACGGUAGAGGGCGGUGGAAUUCCCUGUGUAGCGGUGAAAUGCGUAGAUAUAGGGAGGAACAUCAGUGGCGAAGGCGGCCGCCUGGGAUCGAUACUGACGGUGAGGUGCGAAAGCUUGGGGAGCAAACAGGAUUAGAUACCCUGGUAGUCCACUCCGUAAACGAUGAGAACUAGCCGUUGGAUCCCUUGAGGGUUCAGGGGCGAAGCUAACGCGAUAAGUUCUCCGCCUGGGGAGUACGGCCGCAAGGUUAAAACUCAAAUGAAUUGACGGGGGCCCGCACAAGCGGUGGAGCAUGUUGUUUAAUUCGAUGCAACGCGAAGAACCUUACCACCCCUUGCCAUCCUCGGAAUUUGGCAGAGAUGCCUUGGUGCCUUCGGGAACCGAUUGACAGGUGCUGCAUGGCUGUCGUCAGCUCGUGUCGUGAGGUGUUGGGUUAAGUCCCGCAACGAGCGCAACCCCUGUCUUCAGUUACCAACGGGUCAUGCCGGGAACUCUGGAGAGACUGCCCAGGAGAACGGGGAGGAAGGUGGGGAUGACGUCAAGUCAGCAUGGCCUUUAUGCCUGGGGCUACACACGUGCUACAAUGGCCGGUACAAAGGGCUGCAAACCCGUAAGGGGGAGCGAAUCUCAAAAAACCGGCCUCAGUUCAGAUCGAGGUCUGCAACUCGACCUCGUGA
rnacentral:rRNA from 1 species